rnacentral:rRNA from 1 species
AGUGAACGCUGGCGGUAGGCCUAACACAUGCAAGUCGAACGGCAGCACAGUAAGAGCUUGCUCUUACGGGUGGCGAGUGGCGGACGGGUGAGGAAUACAUCGGAAUCUACUUUUUCGUGGGGGAUAACGUAGGGAAACUUACGCUAAUACCGCAUACGACCUACGGGUGAAAGCAGGGGAUCUUCGGACCUUGCGCGAUUGAAUGAGCCGAUGUCGGAUUAGCUAGUUGGCGGGGUAAAGGCCCACCAAGGCGACGAUCCGUAGCUGGUCUGAAAGGAUGAUCAGCCACACUAGAACUGAGACACGGUCCAGACUCCUACGGGAGGCAGCAGUGGGGAAUAUUGGACAAUGGGCGCAAGCCUGAUCCAGCCAUACCGCGUGGGUGAAGAAGGCCUUCGGGUUGUAAAGCCCUUUUGUUGGGAAAGAAAAGCAGCAGGUUAAUACCCCGCUGUUCUGACGGUACCCAAAGAAUAAGCACCGGCUAACUUCGUG